rnacentral:rRNA from 1 species
UGGGGGGAUUAGUGGCGAACGGGUGAGUAACACGUGAGUAACCUGCCCUUGACUCUGGGAUAAGCCUGGGAAACCGGGUCUAAUACUGGAUACGACCUUCCCGCGCAUGCGGUGUUGGUGGAAAGCUUUUGCGGUUUUGGAUGGACUCGCGGCCUAUCAGCUUGUUGGUGGGGUAAUGGCCUACCAAGGCGACGACGGGUAGCCGGCCUGAGAGGGUGACCGGCCACACUGGGACUGAGACACGGCCCAGACUCCUACGGGAGGCAGCAGUGGGGAAUAUUGCACAAUGGGCGCAAGCCUGAUGCAGCGACGCCGCGUGAGGGAUGAAGGCCUUCGGGUUGUAAACCUCUUUCAGUAGGGAAGAAGCCGAUCUUCUGGGUUGGUGACGGUACCUGCAGAAGAAGCGCCGGCUAACUACGUGCCAGCAGCCGCGGUAAUACGUAGGGCGCAAGCGUUAUCCGGAAUUAUUGGGCGUAAAGAGCUCGUAGGCGGUUUGUCGCGUCUGCCGUGAAAGUUCCGGGGCUUAACUCC